UACGAAGGGGGCUAGCGUUGUUCGGAAUUACUGGGCGUAAAGGGCGCGUAGGCGGUGUGUCAAGUCAGGCGUGAAAGCCCCGGGCUCAACCUGGGAACCGCGCUUGAGACUGGCACGCUAGAGUUCGGGAGAGGAUGGUGGAAUUCCCAGUGUAGAGGUGAAAUUCGUAGAUAUUGGGAAGAACACCGAUGGCGAAGGCAGCCAUCUGGACCGACACUGGCGCUGAGGCGCGAAAGCGUGGGGAGCAAACAGG
rnacentral:rRNA from 1 species